rnacentral:rRNA from 1 species
AGCAGCCGCGGUAAUUCCAGCUCCAAUAGCGUAUAUUAAAGUUGUUGCAGUUAAAAAGCUCGUAGUUGAAUUUCGGGAUCAAUUUAUUGGUCGUGCUAUUGUACGUACUGGUAUUAUUGAUUCCUACCUUCUGACGAACCAUGAUGUCAUUAAUUUGGUGUCAUGGGGAAUCAGGACUGUUACUUUGAAAAAAUUAGAGUGUUUAAAGCAGGCUCACGCUUGAAUACAUUAGCAUGGAAUAACGAAAUAGGACGUUUGAUUCUAUUUUGUUGGUUUCUAGGAUCGACGUAAUGAUUAAUAGGGAUAGUUGGGGGCAUUAGUAUUCAAUUGUCAGAGGUGAAAUUCUUGGAUUUAUUGAAGACUAACUACUGCGAAAGCAUUUGCCAAGGAUGUUUUCAUUAAUCAAGAACGAAAGUUAGGGGAUCGAAGACGAUCAGAUACCGUCGUAGUCUUAACCAUAAACUAUGCCGACUAGGGAUCGGAUGAUGUUAAUUUUUAAUGUACUCAUUCGGCG